rnacentral:rRNA from 1 species
GAUGAACGCUGGCGGCGUGCCUAAUACAUGCAAGUCGAGCGAACAGACGAGGAGCUUGCUCCUCUGACGUUAGCGGCGGACGGGUGAGUAACACGUGGAUAACCUACCUAUAAGACUGGGAUAACUUCGGGAAACCGGAGCUAAUACCGGAUAAUAUAUUGAACCGCAUGGUUCAAUAGUGAAAGACGGUUUUGCUGUCACUUAUAGAUGGAUCCGCGCCGCAUUAGCUAGUUGGUAAGGUAACGGCUUACCAAGGCAACGAUGCGUAGCCGACCUGAGAGGGGGACGCCCCACACGGGACCUGCACCCCGGUCCAGACCCCUGCGGGGGGCGCCAGGAGGCAUUCCUCCGCAAUGGGCGAACGCCUGACGGAGCAACGCCGCGUGAGGGAUAAGGUUCUUCGGAUCUUAAACCUUUUUUAUUGGGAAGAAAAAAAUGUGAAAGUACCUCUGCGCGUUUGGACGCUCCCUAACAAGAACCCCCCGCCUAACCACGCC